rnacentral:rRNA from 1 species
AGAGUUUGAUCAUGGCUCAGAAUCAACGCUGGCGGCGCGCUUAACACAUGCAAGUCGAGCGAGAAAGUGGGGCAACCCAUGAGUACAGCGGCGUACGGGUGAGUAACACGUGGGUAAUCUACCUCUUAGUGGGGAAUAACCCUGGGAAACCGGGGCUAAUACCGCAUAAGCCUGAGAAGGGAAAGCAGGAAUGCGCUGAGAGAGGAGCCCGCGGCCGAUUAGCUAGUUGGUGAGGUAACGGCUCACCAAGGCGAUGAUCGGUAGCCGGCCUGAGAGGGCACACGGCCACACUGGCACUGGGACACGGGCCAGACUCCUACGGGAGGCAGCAGUGGGGAAUCUUGCACAAUGGAGGCAACUCUGAUGCAGCGACGCCGCGUGAGCGAUGAAGCCCUUCGGGGUGUAAAGCUCUUUCGGCAGGGACGAUGAUGACGGUACCUGCAGAAGAAGCUGCGGCUAACUACGUGCCAGCAGCCGCGGUAAUACGUAGGCAGCGAGCGUUGUUCGGAAUUACUGGGCGUAAAGAGUGUGUAGGCGGUGGUCUAAGUUCGGUGUGAAAUCUCCCGGCUUAACUGGGAGGGUGCGCCGGAAACUGGAUUGCUGGAGCGUGGGAGAGGAAAGCGGAAUUCCUGGUGUAGCGGUGAAAUGCGUAGAUAUCAGGAGGAACACCCGCGGUGUAGACGGCUUUCUGGACCAUAGCUGACGCUGAGACACGAAAGCGUGGGUAGCAAACAGGAUUAGAUACCCCGGUAGUCC